AACGAACGCUGGCGGCAUGCCUAACACAUGCAAGUCGAACGAGACCUUCGGGUCUAGUGGCGCACGGGUGCGUAACGCGUGGGAACCUGCCCUUAGGUUCGGAAUAACUCCCCGAAAGGGGUGCUAAUACCGGAUAAUGUCUUCGGACCAAAGAUUUAUCGCCUUUGGAUGGGCCCGCGUUGGAUUAGCUAGUUGGUAGGGUAAAAGCCUACCAAGGCGACGAUCCAUAGCUGGUCUGAGAGGAUGAUCAGCCACACUGGGACUGAGAUACGGCCCAGACUCCUACGGGAGGCAGCAGUGGGGAAUAUUGGACAAUGGGCGAAAGCCUGAUCCAGCAAUGCCGCGUGAGUGAUGAAGGCCUUAGGGUUGUAAAGCUCUUUUACCCGGGAUGAUAAUGUCAGUACCGGGAGAAUAAGCUCCGGCUAACUCCGUG
rnacentral:rRNA from 1 species